rnacentral:piRNA from 1 species
GGACGCAUGCGUUAGGGGUUUACACUUGA